GCCCGGAUGGUGUAAAUGGCAAUCGCGCUACCCUUAGAAGGUGGAAAUUGAGGGUUCGAAUCCCUCUCCGGGUA
rnacentral:tRNA from 1 species